rnacentral:lncRNA from 1 species
GUGAGUUAAGGUUUAUGAACUUGAGUGAGACUUUGAUUUUCUCCCCCUUUGUUCGUGAAGGAGAUGAGAAUUAUGGGUUUCAUCCCAAAGAAAUCGAGUUUAAAGAGUUGAAAUCGUGUUUGGUCGGUUCAAAUCAAGUGGGAAUCAAACCGGAUAUAAUCGAAGAAAACCAAGAAAUCGAGUUGGAAUGCUUUCCUGGGCACGGGAUCGAUCGAUCUGAAUUUAGAGAUCGGUCGAUCUAUAUGAAAUCGACCUUUGCCGAUCGAGUGAAAUGGACCAGGUCGAUCCGUAUAUGCUCCGCGUUUUUUUUGUUCUGCAUAAUGAUCGGGAUCGAUCGAUCCGUACGGCCUUGUAAUUUAGGAUUGAUC